CAGGAUUCGUGUCCGCCGCGGUGGUCGCAAGCGCCCAGUUCCUAAGGGUGCAACUUAAGGCAAGCCUGUCCACCAUGGUGUUAACCAGCUGAAAUUUGUCCGAAGCCUUCAGUCAGUUGCUGAGGAGAGAGCUGGACGCCAUUGUGGUGCUUUGAGAGUCCUGAAUUCCUACUGGGUUGGUGAAGAUUCCACAUAUACAUUUUUUGAGGUUAUCCUCAUUGAUCCAUUCCAUAAAGCUACCAGAAGAAAUCCUGACAACCAAUGGAUCACCAAACCAGUCCACAAACCCAGGGAGAUGCGUGGGCUGACAUCUGCUGGCCGCAAGAGCCGUGGCCUUGGAAAGGGCCACAAGUUCCACCACACUAUUGGUGGAUCUCGCCGUGCAGCCUGGAGAAGGGGCAAUACUCUUCAGCUCCACCGUUACCGAUAAUACACGUAAUAUUUGUAAAAUUCAUAUCCAAUAAACAACUUAGGACAGUCCAAAAAAAAAAAAAAAAA
rnacentral:lncRNA from 1 species